GACGAACGCUGGCGGCGUGCUUAACACAUGCAAGUCGAACGAUGAAGCCGGAGCUUGCUCCGGUGGAUUAGUGGCGAACGGGUGAGUAACACGUGAGCAAUCUGCCCUUGACUCUGGGAUAACUGCGGGAAACUGUAGCUAAUACCGGAUACGACACCUUGGGGCAUCCCAGGGUGUGGAAAGAAUUUCGGUCAAGGAUGAGCCCGCGGCCUAUCAGCUAGUUGGUGAGGUAAUGGCUCACCAAGGCGACGACGGGUAGCCGGCCUGAGAGUGGGACCGGCAAAACAGGAACUGAGACACGGUCCAGACUCCUACGGGAGGAAGGAGUGGGGAAUAUUGCACAAUGGGGGAAAGCCUGAUGCAGCAACGCCGCGGGGGGGAUGAAGGCCUUCGGGUUGUAAACCUCUUUUAGCAGGGAAGAAGCGAAAGUGACGGUAGGUGCAGAAGAAGGACCGGCCAACUACGUGCCAGCAGCCGCCGUAA
rnacentral:rRNA from 1 species